UUCAAUCCACAUUUCAUGAUACUUAGGACAAACUUAUGCAUCAAGCACAGAGGCUAGGAGGAUGGUCAAUUACUUUAAUCCACAUUUCAUGACCAUUUUGAAGGUCUUUGAAAGAGCUAAAACUUUUAUGAAGACACAUUUCUCAUUUGGAGCUCACAUGAAAAGUUUGGUAAGGUGGAACAUUAAGGUAUAUGACUUGACACUUAGAAAAAUUUUCAACAUGUUAAAAUUUCCAAACUUCCACCUCAAAAUUCAC
rnacentral:lncRNA from 1 species